AUGGAAAUAUAUUUGUCGAUAUCAGGCUCAUUUUUGUCUAAACAUGACAAGGAUGUAAACUCUGAUAAUAUGAAAGUCAUUGACACAAUGAAGAAUGGAGGACAAUCGACGGGAGUUGCAGUGACAGUCUUCGAGGAUUGCUACUUCAUGGCAUGUGAUUUUCCAUUGACUAGAUUUGAACAUUGUAAUAAGGUAGCUAAUAAGGUUGCUCAUGAACUUGCUAGGCUAGCGAAAGUCUCUGUAAUUGGUUUGAGGAGCCUAUAG
rnacentral:rRNA from 1 species